UGGAGACAGAAGGAAGGGUCCCACAUCGACUUACCAAACAGAAGUAUGGUUUGGGAAUUAUCACCUUGUUUCCCUCACUCAGAGAUCCCCAAGGGAGGACUGGAUAUGAAAAUUUUUAUGAUGGCCAAAAAAACACUGGAUUCUUGUCAUGGUGCCUCAAGACAGUACAAAGGGGUCAAGACCUUCUGGAAAUAAGGAUGAUCCAAAAACAGAAGAAAAUGGAGGUCCUUUGCAUGACAGACAGCUAUGUUACCAAGACCAUCAGCUAGAUAAUGAUCAAAGUGUAGAGGCCAUCUCUUUGAUGAAUCAUACAAGCGAAUGUGAGGUCAUCAUGCAGAAGAUGAAGGCAACGUUUGAAUACAGAAAGCACCUUGUCCAUGAUCCAGAGGGAUCCACCACCAUUCUCUCAGUUUUCCCUCGAUUCCUGGACACUAAAGGAUUGAUUCUUCAGGACUUUACACUCCUCUUUGGGUCAGAAACUGCUUCCAGACUUUUGGAAAGGUGG